UACGUAGGGUGCGAGCGUUUAAUCGGAAUUACUGGGCGUAAAGCGUGCGUAGGUGGUUCGUUGUGUCUGUGGUGAAAGCCCCGGGCUUAACCUGGGAAUGGCCAUGGAUACUGGCUCGCUAGAGUGUGAUAGAGGAUGGUGGAAUUCCCGGUGUAGCGGUGAAAUGCGUAGAGAUCGGGAGGAACAUCAGUGGCGAAGGCGGCCAUCUGGAUCAACACUGACGCUGAGGCACGAAAGCGUGGGGAGCAAACAGG
rnacentral:rRNA from 1 species